GCCCGAGGCAAAUGCUCACUCAUCCUCCAAUCACAUUCCAACUCAUCUGUUUUUUGCAUGCCGUACAAAAUUCACCAGCCGACACUUGUAAGUCCUGCCAAAAAUAACCGAUCCCCCACAAGGACAUUUCGGUCAAACUAAAAAGGCCAAGCCAAUCCUGAUAGGUGUGUCCACGCAUGGUACCCAACUCCACACGCGUUAUAAAGAUGGGUCAUUUCCUAUUGGUGGCAUGACAGGCAAAACACAGAGUGAGGCCUCUCAACUGACACAGCUCACCUGUCAAUGCUACUGUCCAUUCAUCCGAAAUGUGUUGCCAUGCAUGGACCCAGUACAAUGCUCAAAUCCCACAUGCUCCUUUCCCUAAACCUCUCAUACACGUACCCACCGUACAUUUUCCAAGUGUCACCCUCUCGUGCCUCCUUGCUUCACGUUGCCUUUCUCUCAUUGGCUCUAUCCCUCUCUUUAAACCCCCACCUCAACAAAUCAUUCCUCUCGCUCUUUUUACACACACCAUUUCCCCCAUUCUUUCACCUCUCCCGUCUCGUCCUACCUACCCUUCGCCAUUUUCUUUCUCCUACCAUUUUCUAAGCUUCACAAUGAUCAAGACCCUGAGUCCCUACUCCACUGCAAAAACAGCUGAGAUUAUGUCUAGGUACAGGCCCAUAGCACCAAAGCCUGAGCUUCCUGCCAACUCCUUGGGUGACACCCCGUCAAUGUCUCAGAAGAUUAGGCAAUCUCCUUAUCUCAGGAAUCUCUGGCCUCAAUUGCAAGCCAGGCCUACUAGAACCAGAAAGAGAGGCAGAGCUGCCAUGUCUCCUCCCACCAUCAAAAGGCCGAGAACCCAUUUUCUUGGCCUUUCCUCUCCUAGUCAUUUACUAUCCCCUGCCAGACAUCUCUCCUUGCAAGGUUUUGCUCAUGGUAUUCCCCAGCUUCCUGUUCCCAACCUCGCUGGCGUUAAUAGCAGCUUGGAAAAUCCAGUCACAACUGCUUCAGAUUUGGUGACGCUUCCUCUUCUUCCAUAUCAGUCAUCGGUUCCUGUUGAUGGUAACAAACCAACAGCACGUGAAAUAAGUUGCAUAGAACCACGUAGAGAGGUCAUAGAUUUGAACACUACUGUGGCUGAAAUCCCAGAAGAGAAGGAUCUCUUGCAGCAAUUACAAGAAACUCUCACCGGCAAUAUUAUAACACCUCAGCCAAUUCGACCAGUUGGCUCAAGCAUAAGCGUUGGGUGCAUCAGUGAAGACCCAAGCUCAACCCCACCAGUGCAACUUCCAAAGAAGCCAGAGGAGGUUGAGGAAGAAGUCGAGUCUGAGGCCUUGCCAGCCGUGAUAUCUGAUUCCAACUACAAAGUGAGGCUGGCAAAUUCUGCCUAUAAAGAAAUGGUGGGACAACCAGAGUGCUCGUGGCUCGACUUGAUGGUGAUGGGCGAUGGCAGGUUUGGAGGUAGCUCAAGCAAAAGGAUCUGUGGAGAGGUGAAGCUUCAUCUUGCUGAUUCAAAGGUGCCCACUUCUUCAAAUGGAUUUUCAUGCUGGGUGAGAAUAGAAUGGGGACAUGAGGGGAAGAAGAAAGCCAUCAAUGCUUUUUGUGAUGUUAUCAGAUUGUCCUGCGAGUCCAAGGAUUACCUCUUCACCUGGAGGUUCCACGCUCAUAACAGGGAGGGCUCCGAGUCCAGCAACACUGCUUGAAUGCCUAAUUGUAUAAAGCAGUUCACUAGAAAACGUAUCUUGCUUGAAUACUUAAUUGUAUAAAGUAGUUCACUAGAGCACGUAUCUGAUCUACUAUGUAUACAUAAGAACACAUCAGGUAUAUGUACAGUUUUUGUUAGCUUUUCAGUUAAAAGUCAAAUUCUGUAGAAGAUAAUUUGCCUUUCUUGUGUACUACGCUUGGGGCAGGGGUGGUUACAG
rnacentral:misc_RNA from 1 species